UACGUAGGGGGCAAGCGUUGUCCGGAUUUAUUGGGCGUAAAGAGCGUGUAGGCGGCCAGGCAGGUCUGCUGUGAAAACUCGAGGCUUAACCUCGAGCUGUCGGCGGAAACCAUCUGGCUAGAGUCCGGAAGAGGAGAAUGGAAUUCCCGGUGUAGCGGUGAAAUGCGCAGAUAUCGGGAAGAACACCCGUGGCGAAGGCGGUUCUCUGGACCACAACUGACGCUGAGGCGCGAAAGCUAGGGGAGCAAACAGGA
rnacentral:rRNA from 1 species